rnacentral:lncRNA from 1 species
AUGGGAGGCCCGGGAAGGCGGCACCUGCCGGGGUCACAAGCGGGCGCAGCGGGGCCGCCGACCANGCGUCGCGGCCACGACUGUGAACCAGAGGUCCCUGGUGACUGUGUUAUCGCCCCCACCCCGGGAAGGUGCAGCUACAGACGGGAGAUGGGAGGCCCAGGAAGGCGGCACCUGCCGGGGUCACAAGCGGGCGCAGCGGGGCCACCGACCAAGGCCGCUCCUUCCCAGCUCGGCGUCCUGCGCGGGAGGCAGCUGUUCCGCUGCCCGGUUUUCCUGCGGCUGCAUAUGGGGCACGCGCCGUCCGUUCAGAGCACGGGGGGAAGGGAAAUUACUUUCUCCCUGGGACACUUCCUAGCAGAUCAAGGUUUUAUGGCCAAGUGCACGGCUGACCGCAUCGGGCCCUCCAGCCAGGGCCACAUAGAGCAAACCACAGCGUCCCCGGGAGGGUCCCCGUCUCCCCAAUGCAGAUACCACAAGCUCGGUGACGACGGAGUCUGCAGGCCCACCCCCUGGAAGAGCCAAAGCUGCUGUUCUGGCUCUAGAAGCCCGGCAGGUCCAGUCCGGACACUGGGUGGCCACCACCAUGCAGAGCAUGGCAGGCGUCCUGGCGCUGCACGGAAGGGGACAGGACGAGGUGGUCUCCCUUUGGUCAACUGCUCGCCUCGGGGGGAGUGCGUUAGGGCAGCAGUAGAGCCAGUGAGGCUCCAGCAAAGGCGGCCAGAGUGCGGCGGGCCGCGAGGGAAGGCGGCGGGCCGGGGUGCACGAGCGGCCAGGCCUCGGGGGGAACCCCGCCGUCGCAAGGGCCAGCUUUGGAACACAAUCGAGUGGCCCAGUAGACCCACGACUUUGCGCCCACAGCCACUUAGGAUGAGGCAUAAUUGGGGGGAAAAUAAGUUGACAAAGAAAAACAUGGAACAAAGCAAUGCGGGAUGGGACACGGCUUUGGUAAGAGGGACACGGAACGACUGNCGGGGGGAACCCCGCCGUCGCAAGGGCGAGCUUCGGAACACAGUCGAGUGGCCCAGUAGACCCACGACUUUGCGCCCACUGCCGCUUAGGAUGAGUCAUAAUUGGGGGGAAAAUAAGUUGACAAAGAAAAACAUGGGACAAAGCAAUGCGGGAUGGGACACGGCUUUGGUAAGAGGGACACGGAACGACUGGCGUCUGGGAAAGGGUGGGCUGACAGUUGUGAGCGGGCCAGGCCCUGGAGGCGCAAGGCCUCGCGUGUCAAUCCUGGCUCACUGUCUUGUCAUCUGGCAGGAUUUCGGGCACUUUCCUCACCGAGGAGGCGAGGAUGACGACACUGACCGCACAGGGCAGUAG